rnacentral:lncRNA from 12 species
CGGAUGCCUGAGUCAGCGUUUGUCAGGACAAAGACACGUUGUGUUGAGCUGCGCUUUUCGCCUGUGCUUCAUUUAAAAUAGAUUUUCUGGGUACACUUAUAAUCCUGACAGGGAAACGGGCGUCGAAGGAAAACGCGUAAUCGGUCGGGGCCGGAGCUCGUGCCGUGUGCUCUCCUCCGGUGCGGAGCUCGGGGAGAGGCGACGGGCAGGCUGAGAGAGCCAGGCGGGCCGUGAGUCCAUCGUAGCGGAGUUGAUUGCACGGAGAGGCACAGUCUAUGGUCGUUUUUUUUUUUUUUUAAAUGUUGAAUAUUUCCCCGAAAAUUCCAUCCCAUUGAUUGGUUGUCUGGUGUUAUUUGGUUUGCAUAACAGUUCAGUCAGCUGUGGACCCAGAGCCUGGCCCCCAGGCCUUGGCGGAGGAGAGGCCCCGCGGCGAGGGUGGGCGCACCAGGCUGAGCUCCCACAGCGGGCAGCGACCCUCUGCCUCUCAUCUGGCGGGAACCGUGGGCCUCCUCUUGGAGGAAGAAGAACGUUCGACGGCAGAGAACUUCUCAACCGUCGCGGGGCGGGUGCGAGGACUUCCACUCACACAGGAGACCAAUCAACAAACAACUUAUGUUAAUGAGGGGUCACGUGAAGGGCAAAGGAAGUAGGGAGACCAUCUUUGCAGUUCCACUAGUUUUGGCAGGGUCCUUCAGGAUAUAAGGUCACCCGAUGUUCUGCUUCUACAGGUGGAAAAGAACAGUGGACUACAAGGAAAACUUCAGGAUGCGGCUAAUCCUAAAGCUGGCAGGUAAAAUAAUUAGAUUUUAGGUUUUAGGUCUUCUACAGCAUCUACUCUCUCUCUCUCUCUUUUCCUACGUGGGGAACAGAGAAGUUAUAGAAA